rnacentral:rRNA from 1 species
ACUCCUACGGGAGGCAGCAGUGGGGGAAUAUUGGACAAUGGGGGCGAACCCUCGAUCCAGCCAUGCCGCGUGAGUGAUGAAGGCCUUAGGGUUGUAAAGCUCUUUCAGCGAGGAGGAUAAUGACGUUACUCGCAGAAGAAGCCCGGCUAACUUCGUGCCAGCAGCCGCGGUAAUACGAAGGGGGCGUAGCGUUGUUCGGAAUCACUGGGCGUAAAGCGCACGUAGGCGGAUUGAUAAGUUAGGGGUGAAAUCCCGGGGCUCAACCUCGGAACUGCCUUUGAUACUGUCAGUCUUGAGUCCGAGAGAGGUGAGUGGAACUCCGAGUGUAGAGGUGAAAUUCGUAGAUAUUCGGAAGAACACCAGUGGCGAAGGCGGCUCACUGGCUCGGUACUGACGCUGAGGUGCGAAAGCGUGGGGGAGCAAACAGGAUUAGAUACCCUGGUAGGAUAGCG